CUCAGAGGUCCCCAACAGCUCUUGGUGUGAGAUAGAGGGGCUCAAGCGCAGCAUCGGCUUGCUGAGGCGGCACGACCUGCAUUUGUCAACCCUCAUCACAGACAGACAUCGCCAGGUUGCCAAAUGGGUGAGAGAAGAGCUGUGCCCUGAAGGGACACAGCAUUAUUUUGAUGUCUGGCACAUUGGGAAAAGUCUGGGGAAGGCCUUGGAUACAGCCUCAAAAGACAGACAGUGUGAACAACUACAGUUGUGGAGGCCAGCCAUAGUGAACCACCUGUACUGGA